AGUGAACGCUGGCGGUAGGCCUAACACAUGCAAGUCGAACGGCCGCACAGUAAGCGCUUGCUCUUACGGGUGGCGAGUGGCGGACGGGUGAGGAAUACAUCGCCAUCUACUUUUUCGUGGGGGAUAACGUAGGGACACUUACGCUAAUACCGCAUACGACCUACGGGUGAAAGCAGGGGAUCUUCGGACCUUGCGCGAUUGAAUGAGCCGAUGUCGGAUUAGCUAGUUGGCGGGGUAAAGGCUCACCAAGGCGACGAUCCGUAGCUGGUCUGAGAGGAUGAUCGGCCACACUGGAACUGAGACACGGUCCAGACUCCUACGGGAGGCAGCAGUAGGGAAUAUUGGACAAUGGGCGAAAGCCUGAUCCAGCCAUACCGCGUGGGUGAAGAAGGCCUUCGGAUUGUAAAGCCCUUUUGUUGGGAAAGAAAAGCAGCAUAAGAAUACCCCGCUGUUCUGACGGUACCCAAAGAAUAAGCACCGGCUAACUUCGUG
rnacentral:rRNA from 1 species